rnacentral:misc_RNA from 1 species
AAGUCGUAACAAGGUAACCGUAGGUGAACCUGCGGUUGGAUCAUUAACAAUGGGUCUCGUACCUAUACACUGUGUGAACUGUAUUUGUAAUUGGUGCUUUUGCACCGCAUUUUUAAUUCUGUAUUAAUUGAGACUAGAUUUUUAUUUCAAAUUGAAACAACUUUUGACAAUGGAUCUCUUGGCUCUC